UACGAAGGGUGCAAACGUUGCUCGGAAUUAUUGGGCGUAAAGCGCACGUAGGCGGCUCUCUAAGUCGGAUGUGAAAUCCUUUGGCUCAACCAAAGAAGUGCAUUCGAAACUGGAGAGCUUGAGUACUUAAGAGGAUCGCGGAAUUCCCGGUGUAGAGGUGAAAUUCGUAGAUAUCGGGAGGAACACCAGUGGCGAAGGCGGUGAUCUGGGAAGAUACUGACGCUGAGGUGCGAAAGCGUGGGGAGCAAACAGG
rnacentral:rRNA from 1 species